AUUCCUGUCCUCUGAUCUGACUGGACAGAACUAACUAUAUGUUUCAGAAUCUAGGAGCUUGUUUGUAUGAUGAACUGUUUUCAGAAGACAUUUGUUGUGAGUGGGCACUAAAUAAAUAAACUAAACAGAUGACACCAUGAUUUGGUUUAUUGGGGGUGUGGUCAGUUCUAUAGAGACACAAACCAUACAGCUUCUAUGGUGUGUUUGUGACCUGCUGUCUCAGGUCACAAACACACUACAUAAACUGCUUCUAUACAGUCAUUUAAAAAGAAUACUAUAUAACCGGUUUCUGACUCUAGUCUCAGUCUGAUCAGUUAACCCACCCCAACACAGACCCUGAUCCAUGGUUCAACAGGGGCAGCUGGACUCCUGGAAACACCAGGUUGCCAUGAAAACCUGCGUGUUUGGUUUGAACAUGCAUGUUUCUCUACACGCCAACAUCACACAGCAACACCCUGCGUCCCUUCAGCCUCAACGUGUGUCUACUGCAGCUGCAGAUCAACACAUCAUGAACUUCUCCCCAACAAAGUCCAACUCUACAACAAUCAGAACCUUUCCCUGCAAAGAUCACUUGACUUGACAGGUGUCCCAACGAACGAACCUGCAUGCGUUCAGACUAGCACAGGGUGGUGCAGCUCUGACCUGCAGUGAUUAACAGUUGUCCAAUUAAUUUAAAUUGUGAAACACAAUCAUUGAUCACAGUGAUUGGCUAGGUGUUAAUGAUGUCAGCAGGGUGUGGAUUAAACAAAACGCACAGACGGAGGGUAAAAUCUGAAAGAACUAACAGGAAAAGCAUUAUCAUCAGCACAGAAAGAGAAGAACCAGCUGCAGAUGGGUCAGAAAUGUAUCUCUGUAUCCUCAACCAGACGCAGCAGUAACACCUGAAGCUCUCAGACAUAGCUGUACUCUGCAGCCAGACUGAAGCUCAGCUGGAAAACAUCUGAACUAUAAACAGCAGCCUGAUUGGCUGGCAUUGGAGUGGUCAUUACAGGUUACAUCCUGCAGGAGGCAGACUGGAGCAGCUUGUUCCUUCAGAAGAAGAAAGAACAGAAGAUCAGGAGGAAAUGAUUACAUCUGGCUCCAGAACUGAAGGACCAUCCAGGUUCUGAUCCAGAGUUUGGUCAUAACUGAUUCCUAACAUCUAACUGAACAGCAACUGUGACCCAGUUAUAUCUUUACAUGGAGCAGCCCAGGAGGAGCCUGAAGGACGUCAGGGCUCACCUGAGCCUUUCUACACCUUCUGGGGCUCCUGAAGGCAAUGGAAAGAUGAUGCUGCAAGGUUCAGGAGCUCAAUGUCCAUCAUGAUGUGUGACAUCAUGCAGAGAUGUGCCAUCAUAGUCAUGAAAACGACACACACACAUGAACAGACAGAUCUAGUACAACCCGAGAGUAACCAUGACAACAGCAGGUUUAGUUGAGUUCAUUUCCAGAACCUGGCCUAGAUAAUCUUGGACCAGCAUUCCUGACAGACAGAAGGUGCCUCUGCACAUGCCAGAAACUUGCUAGGCCUAUUAGUAGCAAUCUCUCUGUUGGACCGGUUCCGGAAAACUGAUCUGAGCUCUGUCACUGUGUUGCUCAGGCUCUGUUCUGGUACCAUCACCUUGAGAGAUCCCGCAGGUCUGAGAGAUGGAGUCAUUUCACCAUGGACAUUUUGUGACGGGGUACAGCUGAAGAGAAAUACACUUUCAAAUGUACAAAGGAGCAGUUUAUGAAGUUCAGGGGUCAGAACCACCACCUUUUUACUGGAGUUAAAAACUCAGCCACCGUGGCUUGGAGGUACAA